rnacentral:rRNA from 1 species
GACGAACGCUGGCGGCGUGCUUAACACAUGCAAGUCGAACGAUGAAGUUCCUUCGGGAAUGGAUUAGUGGCGAACGGGUGAGGAACACGUGAGAAACCUGCCUUUCAUUUUGGGAUAACUCCGGGAAACCGGGGCUAAAACCGAAUACUCCGUCUCGGCGGCAUCGCUGAGACGGGAAAAAAUUUUGAUGAAAGAUGGUCUCGCGGCCUAUCAGCUAGUUGGUGAGGUAAUGGCUCACCAAGGCAACGACGGGUAGCCGGCCUGAGAGGGCGACCGGCCACACUGGGACUGAGACACGGCCCAGACUCCUACGGGAGGCAGCAGUGGGGAAUAUUGGGCAAUGGGCGCAAGCCUGACCCAGCGACGCCGCGUGAGGGAUGAAGGCCUUCGGGUCGUAAACUUCUGUCGAGAGGGAAGAAUGCGUACGGGUGAAUAAUCCGUGCGUUUGACGGUACCUCCAAAGGAAGCACCGGCUAACUCCGUGC